rnacentral:rRNA from 1 species
UGNCAGUCUCUGUCGGCCGUACUCCCCAGGCGGGGAACUUAAUGCGUUAGCUGCGGCACCGACGACGUGGAAUGUCGCCAACACCUAGUUCCCAACGUUUACGGCGUGGACUACCAGGGUAUCUAAUCCUGUUCGCUCCCCACGCUUUCGCUCCUCAGCGUCAGUAAUGGCCCAGAGAUCCGCCUUCGCCACCGGUGUUCCUCCUGAUAUCUGCGCAUUUCACCGCUACACCAGGAAUUCCGAUCUCCCCUACCACACUCUAGCUAGCCCGUAUCGAAUGCAGACCCGAGGUUAAGCCUCGGGCUUUCACAUCCGACGUGACAAGCCGCCUACGAGCUCUUUACGCCCAAUAAUUCCGGACAACGCUUGCGCCCUACGUAUUACCGCGGCUGCUGGCACGUAGUUAGCCGGCGCUUCUUCUGCAGGUACCGUCACUUUCGCUUCUUCCCUGCUGAAAGAGGUUUACAACCCGAAGGCCGUCAUCCCUCACGCGGCGUCGCUGCAUCAGGCUUUCGCCCAUUGUGCAAUAUUCCCCACUGCUGCCUCCCGUAGGAGUCUGGGCCGUGUCUCAGUCCCAGUGUGGCCGGUCGCCCUCUCAGGCCGGCUACCCGUCGUCGCCUUGGUGGGCCAUUACCCCACCAACAAGCUGAUAGGCCGCGGGCUCAUCCUUCACCGCCGGAGCUUUCACCCCCGCCCAUGCAGGCAGGAGUGNAUUCGGUAUUAGACCCCGUUUUCAGGGCUGGUCCAGAGUGAAGGCGGAUUGCCACGUGUACUCACCCGUUCGCACUAAUCC